GAUUAACGCUAGCGGCAGGCCUAAUACAUGCAAGUCGAACGGGAUUCAGGGUAGCAAUAUCUUGAUGAGAGUGGCGCACGGGUGCAUAACACGUAUGCAAUUUACCUUUAACUGGGGAAUAGCCUUCCGAAAGGAAGAUUAAUACCGCAUAACAUUUCUGAAGGACAUCCUUCGGUAAUCAAAACUACGGUGGUUAAAGAUAAGCAUGCGUCCGAUUAGCUAGUUGGUGAGGAACGGCUCACCAAGGCAACGAUCGGUAGGGGGUCUGAGAGGAUGAUCCCCCACACUGGUACUGAGACACGGACCAGACUCCUACGGGA
rnacentral:rRNA from 1 species